rnacentral:lncRNA from 1 species
GUAACACUCACCGCGAGGCUCCGCGGCUUCAUUCUUGAAUUCAUUUUCAGUGAACCUUCAGAGAAUGAUGGGCAGGUUUUCCCUUGGCCCCCACAGUUUUGGCACUGUGAGCAGGAUACCAAAACCACUCUGUUCUUCUGGAAGCCACAGCCCAGGGAACCUAGGAUCUGAGAAGUUCACAAAAGGACACACUUCCUGCCACUGCUGAGAACUGACUGAGACUUAGCUUGUGUUGAAGUCUGAAUGGAAGCCAUUUAUGGAUAUGCAAAGAGGAAUGGAUAAUUGAUGAAGCAUGGUAACAAAGAUUAUUUUCAUCUGAGUACAAAGAUAAAGGUUGCCAUAGCCAUUGGAGAUCACACCAUGACUUGCUUCCCGACCACCUGGAUUUUAUGUGAAGUCACAUGUUCUUAGAAAAACAGACUUUUAAGACACUCUUCUGCGAUCUGACAUUUUCAAGUCUGUUGGGCUCAACAUGCAAGAACGAGAUCAGCCUACAGUACAGACUGGGAUGUACCCUCAGAUCCCUGAGCUGGAAGGAGAAGGGGCAAGAGAGGAUUGGGGUCCAGAGCCAAAGAGGACUGAGGGAGACAAAGGCAGCUGAGACAAAAUGACCCAUUAUCAGAAGCCCUACGUAAAGCCAAGAAACAAGCCAGACUAAAUCCCCAGCAACUGCAUUGAAGCCAGCAGAAGAAGUGCAAUCAGGUGGCUUGGCAGGAGCAGCAUCCACUUUUUCUUGGGCAUUCUUUUCACAGUGUAG